rnacentral:rRNA from 1 species
AGGAGGGGCUUGCGACACAUUAGUUAGUUGGCAGGGUAAAGGCCUACCAAGACUAUGAUGUGUAGCUGGACUGAGAGGUUGAACAGCCACAUUGGGACUGAGACACGGCCCAAACUCCUACGGGAGGCAGCAGUAGGGAAUUUUCGGCAAUGGAGGAAACUCUGACCGAGCAACGCCGUGUGAACGAUGAAGUACCUCGGUAUGUAAAGUUCUUUUAUUAAGGAAGAAAAAAGAGUGGAAAAACUCCCUUGACGGUACUUAAUGAAUAAGCCCCGGCUAAUUAUGUGCCAGCAGCCGCGGUAAUACAUAAGGGGCGAGCGUUAUCCGGAAUUAUUGGGCGUAAAGGGUGCGUAGGCGGUUUAAUAAGUCUAUAGUUUAAUUUCAGCGCUUAACGCUGUUAUGCUAUAGAAACUGUUUUACUAGAGUGAGAUAGAGGCAAGCGGAAUUCCAUGUGUAGCGGUAAAAUGCGUAAAUAUAUGGAGGAACACCAGAGGCGUAGGCGGCUUGCUGGGUCUUUACUGACGCUGAGGCACGAAAGCGUGGGGAGCAAACAGGAUUAGAUACCCUGGUAGUCCACGCCGUAAACGAUGAGUACUAAGUGUCGGGCAAAACCGGUACUGAAGUUAACACAUUAAGUACUCCGCCUGAGUAGUACGUACGCAAGUAUGAAACUUAAAGGAAUUGACGGGACUCCGCACAAGCGGUGGAUCAUGUUGUUUAAUUCGAAGAUACACGAAAAACCUUACCAGGUCUUGACAUUUUCUUGCGAAGUUAUAGAAAUAUAAUGGAGGUUAUCAGGAAAACAGGUGGUGCAUGGUUGUCGUCAGCUCGUGUCGUGAGAUGUUAGGUUAAGUCCUAAAACGAGCGCAACCCUUGUCGUUAAUUGCCAGCAUGUAAUGAUGGGGACUUUAAUGAGACUGCCAAUGAAAAAUUGGAGGAAGGUGGGGAUUACGUCAAAUCAUCAUGCCCCUUAUGAUCUGGGCUACAAACGUGAUACAAUGGUUGAUACAAAGAGUAGCUGAAACGCAAGUUCUUAGCCAAUCUCACAAAAUCAAUCUCAGUUCGGAUUGAAGUCUGCAACUCGACUUCAUGAAGUUGGAAUCGCUAGUAAUCGCG